AUUGAACGCUGGCGGCAGGCCUAACACAUGCAAGUCGAACGAGUGGCGGACGGGUGAGUAAUGUCUGGGAAACUGCCUGGUGGCGGGGGAUAACUACUGGAAACGGUAGCUAAUACCGCAUACCAUCGGAUGUGCCCAGAUGGGAUUAGCUAUGAGGUGGGGUAAAGGCUCACCAAGGCGACGAUCCCGAGCUGGUCUGAGAGGAGGACCCGCCAACCUGGAACUGAGACACGGUCAAGACUCCUACGGGAGGCAGCAGUGGGGAAUAUUGCACAAUGGGCGCAAGCCUGAUGCAGCCAUGCCGCGUGUAUGAUGAAGGCCUUCGGGUUGUAAAGUACUUUCAGCGGGGAGGCGUUACCCGCAGAAGAAGCACCGGCUAACUCCGUGCCAGCAGCCGCGGUAAUAC
rnacentral:rRNA from 1 species